AUUGAACGCUGGCGGAAUGCUUUACACAUGCAAGUCGAACGGCAGCACGGACUUCGGUCUGGUGGCGAGUGGCGAACGGGUGAGUAAUGUAUCGGAACGUAUCCAAUAAUGGGGGAUAACUAAUCGAAAGGUUGGCUAAUACCGCAUACGUCCUACGGGAGAAAGCUAGGGACCUUCGGGCCUGGCGUUAAUGGAGCGGCCGAUAUCGGAUUAGCUAGUUGGUGAGGUAAAGGCUCACCAAGGCGACGAUACGUAGCUGGUCUGAGAGGACGACCAGCCACACUGGAACUGAGACACGGUCCAGACUCCUACGGGAGGCAGCAGUGGGGAAUUUUGGACAAUGGGCGAAAGCCUGAUCCAGCCAUUCCGCGUGAGUGAAGAAGGCCUUCGGGUUGUAAAGCUCUUUCGCAAGAGAAGAAAACUUACCCUCUAACAUAGGGUGAGGUUGACGGUAUCUUGAUAAGAAGCACCGGCUAACUACGUGCCAGCAGCCGCGGUAA
rnacentral:rRNA from 1 species